AUACAUGCAGUCGAGCGAAUGGAUUUGAGAAGCUUGCUUCUCAAGAAAGUUAGCGGCGGACGGGUGAGUAACACGUGGGUAACCUGCCCAUAAGACUGGGAUAACUCCGGGAAACCGGGGCUAAUACCGGAUAACAUUUUGAACUGCAUGGUUCGAAAUUGAAAGGCGGCUUCGGCUGUCACUUAUGGAUGGACCCGCGUCGCAUUAGCUAGUUGGUGAGGUAACGGCUCACCAAGGCAACGAUGCGUAGCCGACCUGAGAGGGUGAUCGGCCACACUGGGACUGAGACACGGCCCAGACUCCUACGGGAGGCAGCAGUAGGGAAUCUUCCGCAAUGGACGAAAGUCUGACGGAGCAACGCCGCGUGAGUGAUGAAGGCUUUCGGGUCGUAAAACUCUGUUGUUAGGGAAGAACAAGUGCUAGUUGAAUAAGCUGGCACCUUGACGGUACCUAACCAGAAAGCCACGGCUAACUACGUGCCAGCAGCCGCGGUAAUACGUAGGUGGCAAGCGUUAUCCGGAAUUAUUGGGCGUAAAGCGCGCGCAGGUGGUUUCUUAAGUCUGAUGUGAAAGCCCACGGCUCAACCGUGGAGGGUCAUUGGAAACUGGGAGACUUGAGUGCAGAAGAGGAAAGU
rnacentral:rRNA from 1 species